UUCUGGUAUCUGUUAACAACUGCAUCUCAAGAAACUGUGCCUACUGUAAGGCAGAUGCAAACCUGAGUCAGCACCUCUCAGUUCUAACAGGUAUUUUCACCAGGAAGAACUAGUAAUAGUUUUCCACAAAGAGGAGAAAGAGAAGCUCCAGGGGACUUCAGAAUCCAACAUAGAAGUCACAGGUUUUCUUAACCCAACACUACACAGAUCCCCUUUCCCCAUUUUUUGUGUCUUGGCUGAGACUGUGAGAGCCAUCUGGCCAGCAAAAAGCAC
rnacentral:lncRNA from 1 species